AGCUAGCAUGGCAUAGUGGUUUGAGCACUGGACUAGGGCUCCAGAGACCAGGGUUCAAAUCCCAGCUUGGCCA